rnacentral:rRNA from 1 species
UACGUAGGUGGCAAGCGUUGUCCGGAAUUAUUGGGCGUAAAGCGCGCGCAGGCGGCUAUGUAAGUCUGAUGUUAAAGCCCGAGGCUCAACCUCGGUUCGCAUUGGAAACUGUGUAGCUUGAGUGCAGAAGAGGAAAGCGGUAUUCCACGUGUAGCGGUGAAAUGCGUAGAGAUGUGGAGGAACACCAGUGGCGAAGGCAGCUUUCUGGACGACGACUGACGCUCAGGCUCGAAAGCCAAGGUAGCGAACAGG